GUCCUCCUACUGCAGACGAGAGAAGUGAAAGAUUACUGCGUUCGGCUCAUUAAGAAUGUUUUAUUUUGUCUGCAAUUCCCCCCCACCCCCGUCUAUUGUCUCUCCACCCUCUCAGCUCAAGUCUCGGCAGAGUCACAGCCCUGGGAGCACCGCGGCGACGGAAUAAACGCAGAAAAUGAACUGGAAGAAAACAGGGAGGCGAGAAGAACGGUACGGCUGGCCGAUGGUGGCCGAAAACUCAAAGGAGAGGAGGUUACACUGCAUCGCCAGCUUGCCUCAUCUGAAUCCCUGACUCCUGACCUCCCCUGAGGAAGGUGCUCACUGUCAGAAGAACCCCCAGCAUCCUACCGCCACAGAAAGGUGAUUCCUUUAAAGCACCAGAAACGGAUGAAGGAGCGAGAGGGGGCUGCGCGAGGCGGGCAGAUGGGGAGGGGAGCUGUCGCUUGUGUCAGGUUAACCUCAGAGACACAUCCGGAGCUCAGCAUCUGGGAGACGGAGAGGAGAGAGAGGCACCGUCGCUCCAUUUGGCGCAAGUGAGUUUGGCAUUAAGCAUCAUGCAGUGGCUUUCAUCAGCUUCUCUCUCUCUCUCUUUCUUUCUCACCUUCACUCCCUCCCCCAAAAUAAAAAAAGGCUAAAACGCCAAACUUUGUGCACUGUCAGUCCCACGGGCUGUGCUUAUUCCCAGAUUUAUGUUAGUAGCGUUAAGCGUUAAAGAUAGAGAGGAAGAGAGAGAGCUUUGCAUGCGGAGAGGAAGGAGAUGAUACUGAUGUUUGUGCAGCACAUGUGUUAAGUCACUCACACACACACACCACAAUAACACCUGAAAUCGCGGCAGCUGGUGCUGUUAAACAUGCAUUGUCUUGUUCCAGUUUCACCUCUGCAGCAACAGAUAGCAACAAAAGUCCUAUAGAGGUCUUUAAGGUGUAACAGCUGUUGGUCAUUAUAUGAACCCGAGGAGAGAGAGAGAAAAAAAGAAGCAUUCCUGGUGCUUUUUUUUUUUUUUUUUACUAUAGAAGUGAGACUUCUUUUCCCCCCCGUCCGACCCGUGAGAGAGAAGUAAACUGCUGGUUAUUUGGGUUCAGGUGCUUAAAUAAAAGGGUUUUGACACACGGUAGCCUGGGGUUUGAUCCCAUGAUUCAUUGGGGUUUUUGUAAGACAAUGAGCGGUGCUGCUUGAUACAAGGCUUUUGCAUUAACAGUUAACUAUGCAUGAGUGUAAAACCCUUGUGGUUUCUGAGACCACUAUGAAUAAAGGAUGCAUGCCUUGCAAAAUUUAGCUUAAUAGAGUUACCAAAAUGAAGUGGAGAGUUUUGGUAGUGAACUAUGACUCUAGAGACAGGAGGUGUACAACUUAAGACGAGUUUCGACGUGAUGUGUGCUGUACGGAGAGGCGGCGUAAAAACACACGAACACGGUUCUCAGAAUCAGAGAGCACUUCCUCUCAAGUACUUCUGAUAUAAAAUCACUUUGCUUGCACUGACUUGACCCAGCAAGAUUUCAGUCAACAGAUUUUCAUGGCAAUAGUGCAAAAAUAAUAUAGUGAAAAUCAAUUUUAUAUGAGAAAGUCUUGCUCGGUCAGUUCAAUUAACUGUUCUAAGUGUGCUGGUUUAAGUAUUUUAAUCUUAAUAAAUAUAAAUACAGAAAGUGUUGUCAUUCAAUACAUACUGCUAAUUUCAAGUCAAUAAAGUGCUUUGUUCAUUAUGAAA